rnacentral:rRNA from 1 species
UACGAAGGGGGCUAGCGUUGCUCGGAAUUACUGGGCGUAAAGCGCACGUAGGCGGUCUUUUAAGUCGGGGGUGAAAUCCUGGAGCUCAACUCCAGAACUGCCUUCGAUACUGGAAGACUUGAGUCCGGGAGAGGUGAGUGGAACUGCGAGUGUAGAGGUGAAAUUCGUAGAUAUUCGCAAGAACACCAGUGGCGAAGGCGGCUCACUGGCCCGGUACUGACGCUGAGGUGCGAAAGCGUGGGGAGCAAAACGG